rnacentral:rRNA from 1 species
AUUGAACGCUGGCGGCAGGCCUAACACAUGCAAGUCGAGCGAGCGGCGGACGGGUGAGUAAUGUCUGGGAAACUGACUGAAGGAGGGGGAUCACUACUGGAAACGGUAGCUAAUACCGCAUACCAUCAGAUGUGCCCAGGUGGGAUUAGCUAGUAGGUGGGGUAAUGGCGACCCUAGGCGACGAUCCCUAGCUGGUCUGAGAGGAUGACCAGCCACACUGGAACUGAGACACGGUCCAGACGCAGACGGGAGGCGGCAGUGGGGAAUAGUGCACAAUGGGCGAAAGCAGGAUGCAGCCAUGCCGCGUGUGUAAAGAAGGCCUUCGGGUUGUAAAGCACUUUCAGCGGGGAGGCGUUACCCGCAGAAGAAGCACCGGCUAACUCCGUGCCAGCAGCCGCGGUAAUAC